AUGAAUCUGCUAGCCUGGAACUAUCGGGGCUUGGGGUUGGACUCGACAGUGGGCGAACUUCGCGACCUAGUUAGGUGUCACAACCCGGCGGUGGUUUUCUUAUGUGAAACAAAGAAAAAAGGUAGAGCGAUGGAUAGACUUAAAUGGAGUUUGGGUUUCAAGAAUGGUGUGGCCGUGGAUUGUGUGGGCAGGAGUGGGGGUCUGGCCCUCUGGUGGCGAGAUGAUAUU
rnacentral:rRNA from 1 species